UUCCAUACAAUCACCGAAGUUAAGCAACAUCAAGUCUGGUUAGUACCUAGAUGGGUGACCACUUGUGAAUACCAGGUGUUGUAAG